AUUGAACGCUGGCGGCAGGCCUAACACAUGCAAGUCGGACGGUAGCACAGAGAGCUUGCUCUCGGGUGACGAGUGGCGGACGGGUGAGUAAUGUCUGGGGAUCUGCCCGAUAGAGGGGGAUAACCACUGGAAACGGUGGCUAAUACCGCAUAACGUCGCAAGACCAAAGAGGGGGACCUUCGGGCCUCUCACUAUCGGAUGAACCCAGAUGGGAUUAGCUAGUAGGCGGGGUAACGGCCCACCUAGGCGACGAUCCCUAGCUGGUCUGAGAGGAUGACCAGCCAGACUGGAACUGAGACACGGUCCAGACUCCUACGGGAGGCAGCAGUGGGGAAUAUUGCACAAUGGGCGCAAGCCUGAUGCAGCCAUGCCGCGUGUAUGAAGAAGGCCUUCGGGUUGUAAAGUACUUUCAGCGGGGAAGAAGGCGAUGUGGUUAAUAACCGCAUUGAUUGACGUUACCCGCAGAAGAAGCACCGGCUAACUCCGUGCCAGCAGCCGCCGUAA
rnacentral:rRNA from 1 species